GUCCUUUCUCUGCGCAUGCGCGGCCCGUGAUGAGUAGUUAAUGCGCGGCAGCUGGGCGCGCUGUGCCGUGUGCACACAUCCGAGACGUUGAGAGAAGACACGAUGUUGGAGAUAAAGAUGGAGGAGUGUGUGAGCCGAGGCCUCUCCCUCUGAUUUGGCGUCCCUGCUGCGCUGUGAAGGACUGACCAGCAUCACGCUCACCAGGCUGGACCAGCUGGUCACCAAGAGUGUGAGUGGUUCUGGGUUCAGCAGGGUUCUGGUCGUGUUGAAGUCUUUAGAGGUUCUGUGUGAGAACAGAGAUGAUCUGCAGACUCUGAUCCACCUGGGACUCACAGCUAAAGUAAUCACAUUACUCUCUCUUCAUACUGUUUACAUCCAGGCUAAAGUAAUCACAUUACUUUCUCUUCAUACUGUUUACAUCCAGGUUAAAGUAAUCACAUUACUUUCUCUUCAUACUGUUUACAUCCAGGGUUAAAGUAAUCACAUUACUUUCUCUUCAUACUGUUUACAUCCAGGGUUAAAGUAAUCACAUUACUUUCUCUUCAUACCGUUUACAUCCAGGGUUAUCAACCAGGCUAAAGUAAUCACAUUACUUUCUCUUCAUACCGUUUACAUCCAGGGUUAUCAACCAGGCUAAAGUAAUCACAUUACUUUCUCUUCAUACCGUUUACAUCCAGGGUUAUCAACCAGGCUAAAGUAAUCACAUUACUUUCUCUUCAUACUGUUUACAUCCAGGGUUAUCAACCAGGCUAAAGUAAUCACAUUACUUUCUCUUCAUACCGUUUACAUCCAGGGUUAUCAACCAGGCUAAAGUAAUCACAUUACUUUCUCUUCAUACUGUUUACAUCCAGGGUUAUCAACCAGGCUAAAGUAAUCACAUUACUUUCUCUUCAUACUGUUU